UGUAAAAUUUUAAAGGUCGAACAGACCUAAUAUUUUAGCUUCUACACCAAAAAUUUAUUUUAAUCCAACAUCGAGGUCGCAAUCUUUUUUUUUAAUAUGAACUUUCUAAAAAAAUUACGCUGUUAUCCCUAAGGUAAUUUAAUCUUAUAAUCAAAAAUAUUGGAUCAUUUUUUCAUAAAUUAAUGAUAUAAAAUAAAAAAAGUUAAUUAAAUUUUUCAAUCACCCCAAUUAAAUUAUUUUUUAAAAAUAUUAAAUUAAUGCUUAAAUAAUAUUAUUUUAAAAUAAUCAAACUCUACAGGGUCUUCUCGUCUUUCAAUUAAAAUUAAGCUUUUUAACUUAAAAAUAAAAUUCUAUUAAAAUUUAAUAGAGACAGCUAUUUUUUUAUUCAACCUUUCAUUCCAGUUUCCAAUUAAAAAACUAAUGAUUAUGCUACCUUAGCACGGUCAAUAUACCACGGCCAUUUAAAACUUCAGUGGGCAGGUUAGACCUUAAAUUAUUAACAAAAGGAC
rnacentral:rRNA from 1 species